GCAGGAUUAGUGUUAGCGGUUAGCACGACGGUCUUCCCCUUUAAUAGUUUAAUGUAAAACCAAUAUGAAAAUAUUGAUGUAAGUUCAAAUCUUAUUUAAAGGUCCAAAACCGUAAGGGCGAGUUCGAAUCUCGUAUCUUGCUCCA
rnacentral:tRNA from 2 species